ACUCGGAUAGCUUAUUUUUAGAGCGUGACGUUGAAGGUGUUGAGGAGACUGGAAUUAGUCUUUGGGUA
rnacentral:tRNA from 1 species